GAAGAAAGUUUAAAAUUAGAAGAGAAAGAAAAACAACUAAAAUUAGAAAGAGGCAAGGAAGCUGAGAAACUUGAAGCCAAGAAGAGUGAGCUAGACCUAAAGGAAAAAGAACUGGACGCAGCAUAUGCACAGUAAGUUAUUAAUGACCUGAACAAUGUUUUUUUUCUGGAAAAGAAAAAAUUACCUCUCUACUUUUGUUUUUUUAAGUCAAAAUUUGUUCAUUAGAAAAAAAUCAUUAACCUAAAAAUAAAUUCCUCAGCAAAUCAUACAAUUCCUUGAAGCCAAAUUGCCUGCUCAAGGUGAUCCUAAGUUAUCCAGGGAGGAGAUCCUCUAGUAUUUUGCGCAGCUACACACUCCGUCUAUAAAAAGCAAUAAUCAUCGUAAUGUACAAAAGAAUGCAAGAAACUAAUCCGCAACAUGUAGCAGCAUUAAUACUGAGUAGUAAUUUACAUUGGAAACCACCAAAACGGACAUUACUCAUUGACUCAAUGCGUAAGUCAGAUAUUUUCUUACACACCCUAGUCAAUAAGUGACAUCAGUUAUAGUAGUUUCUAGUAUAAAUUUCCGAUGAAUCCUCUAGAAUUUUAUGUCUUAGUAGUACUCAGUAUUAUUAAUGCUGUACGCUAUGGAUCAACUUUUUGCAUUAACCUGUGCAUUACAAUAAUUAUUGCUUCUCAAAGACACCUACCGGUAAAGCACUGCAGCGUUGUGGCAGAUCUUGUCCCUAGAUCAUAGUCACUAAAUUGAAGUUUCUCCCAUAGCUUGUAGAAUGACUUUUAGUACACCUUGGGAGAAAGUAAUUUUGUUCGGACACAUUUUUUCAUCCCAUUCUUAUUCUUGGGCAUUAUCACAAAUGUGUCCAGAAAUCUGUUGGUUUAAAAGCUCAAUAAAAAUAAAUCUUAAAUGCCUUAACCUAAAUUUUGCAAUAUUGCAAUUAGUUUUGCCUUGUAUAAUUAUUCUGUUUUAUUCAUAUAGGCUAGCAGAAGAUCAGAAAAAGAUAGCAGACGAGAAGAAAACCCUGGAACUAACACAGAAACUCAUAAAUGGCUCUAACAACCUCAACUCUAACGAGCCUCAUGACAAUGUUAAAUUUCUGCAACAAUUAGCACAGCAAUGCUCAGCUUUGACAAAAAAGCUCGCCACAAUCAGAGAUAAAAGGGAAAAGGCUCCAAUCGAAAACCCCUCCACAUCUCCAUCUUUCAAGGCAGUGGACAGUUUCAUUUUCGAUCAGCAUAAAGAUUUGAUCCAGGAGACGAAGUUGAAUCUUGAACAGAAAAUGAAUGAACUAAUGCUGAAACUUGAAGAGAUUAAAGAGGCCCACUCAGUAAAAACGCCAGCGAAACAUUCAUACGUCAACGAUGCUGGCACAAGAUCGGAGGUUAUUGAUGUCGGAAAUGAAAAGAGGCCUGUUGGUGACCUGGACUUGAGUAUCAAGAAUGACUCAAACGAGAAUGCUACACCUUCGGCAACAAAUACAACAGAAAAUUGUCAGAAAUAUGAUAUCUUGGUUCCAGAUGACCUCUCACAAAACUGCUGUGACUCAGGCCGACAAUCGCCGCUUCAAGCUCUCAAGGAUGAAAAUGAUAAUAAAAUCGAUGUCAAUUCCAGCAGAACUACUUUGUUCCAUAGACUGAACGUGGAAUGUCACAUGGUUAAAAAACUCCAGGAAGAAAAUACAGAACUCAAGGCACAGGCGCUACUCCAAAAUCAAAAAAUCAUAGACUUGACUCUCCAAACACGGGAACUAGAAUCCAGAUUAAGCAUGGCGAAUACCGUGAGAGUGGUUACAGUCAGCUCAGACCCGGCUCCUCAUGUUCCUGUCCAAACCUCAGCAGUUAGUCCCUACUCACCAGUUGUUGCAACCGCUGCUCCAUUUGCACUCACAAGACCCAGACGCCAGUGGUUCAACCGGCAUGUCGGCUCCGGUGAGGAAUCUAUGUUCUCCUCCACUGCAGCUACUGCUAACUCAGCAAGAUCUCGCCUCAGGGAACUCAGGAGGAAAUUGCCCCGCAGAAUUGUGGCUCCAAUUGUAGUCAGUCAAUCAUCCUCAACUGAGACCUCCAGCGGUCAGGACACCAUGGAAGAAACCAGAAAACGCCUGAAAAGAUUGGAAAAAGAAAAUUCUGCCGUUAAUCGUUUGUAUCAAGAUUAUCAGUCUAAGAAAGAACAGCAUUUACACUCUGUUUAUCAGCCUGCGGAAACAGUUUUGACCAGUUCUCAGCCGGUGUACUGCUCAGAAUCUCAAAGAAAUUGCUCAACUCUCAUCACGAGCACUUUUUCUCCUUACACUUCAUUUCGGCCCAUUUGCUCUACGUUGAGACCCAUGAUCACGUCAGUUACGCCGCAGCCUUUAUUCUGUAAUCAAAAUACAUCUGUCAUCAAUACACAAAAAUCUUCUUGUAGUGAUUUUCUGAACGAGCCAAGUCAAAAAUGUGCCAUUUUGGAUAAAAUUACUAAACAUGAACGUUCAGAUGUGUGUAAUUAUCUUGAGGGGCCUCAACAGUGUUCAAAUCGUAAAUUUCGUCAUUAUUACCGUGACUGGUUGGAAUGCCAUUUUCGCAAGUCUUGUCCAAGCCCAUCUGAAACAGAGACAUCCCACUCCAGGGUGUCACCGUUGAAACAGAUUUUUCAUCUAAAGCAAUACAAGUAUAAAAAAAGUACAAAGAAUAGAGCUGACCAUGAAACUGAGAAGGUAGACGAACACAACCCUAAUGCUUUGGAGGUCCUACAUUUGGCAGGAGCCAACGAUAAAACUCCUCAAGUAAUCAUCAUUGAGAAUAAAGAUGAUUCCAGUCAUGUUCCUCUGCCAAAUCUCAACAAAAACGACUCGUUAAUUUCUUCGUCUGAUCUUGAUGACUCUUUGAAUUUUGAGAGGUUGAUCCUUCAAAAUCAACAAAAUGUUGCUGCUUUGAGACAGAAGUUUGAACAAUUUUGUAAUUUUAACAGCAGUACCAACUCUUCAGAUGGUGUUGCUGAUGGCGAUAAGCAGAAAAAAGGAAGAAAUAUUCGAAAACCCCCAGCCAACAAGAACGCCCAUUCGGUGAACGUUAAAGUCAAUGUUAACACUGCCGAAAGCACUAAAACUAUUGGAUCACCUGUUGAACCAGCGUCAAAAAACCAGGAAGUUUCUCAAUCAUUGGAUGUCAACACCAGUGCAGCUCCUGCAAAGCCAUCCACUCCGCCGCCUGUUGAAAUCACUUGUUCGGAUGGAAAAAAACUUGUAUCUUCCUCCGAACUUGAAGCAUCAUCCAAGAAAGUUGAGGAAAUAAAUGUUAUUCCAGAGGCUUUCAACUCUAAGUUGUGUCUAAGGAGUCCUGAAUCUUUAGCAGAUAAAAAAAUCAAAGAUAACUACAAAAGGCUCAGCUUGUAUCAUAGAUUGAACGACUAUUAUGAAGAAAUUAUCAAUGAAAUGAAUGUGAGUGAGGAAGAGAAGCAAAAUCUAUCGGAUAUUGAUCAUCUCUUACAGCCGGUCGAAGCAGAUCCUGAAAAUUUCCUUGUGAAUGAUGAAGAGGCAAAAUUGUCAGAGCAUCUUGUUAGAGCAGAGCCCGUCAUUUGUGUUACUCAAGUUGAAUCAUCUCAUCGCUCUCCCUCUGGCCAUUCAAUUUAA
rnacentral:lncRNA from 1 species